UUUGUGGAAAGGGAAAAACAGGCCCCUGAGUAUGUGCCUCUAUGCUUGAAACUUCUUGAAACUGCUCCUAACUGCUUGUUUGGCUUCUGUAAACCUGCUUGCAUAAGAUAAAAAGAGAAGUCAAUCGCCUAACCGACCCCAGUAAGAUCGGGCGUGCCACAAAAUGUUGAAAAUCCUGAUAAAUAUAUCUUGGUGACAAUAUGUCUCCCCCACCCAGAGACAAGCACAAACAUGUAACUCCAGAACAACUUAAAAUUAAUUGGUCCACAAAGCACGGGCUCUCGAAGUUUUAAAUUGACUGGUUGACAAUAUUUUAAAAUGAUUAGUUUAUAAAAGCGUGGGCUUUGUUGUGAACCCCAUAAAAGCUGUCCCGACUCCACACUCGGGGCCGCAGUCCUCUACCCCUGCGUGGCGUACGACUGUGGGCCCCAGCGCGCUCGGAAUAAAAAUCCUCUUGCUGUUUACAUCAAGACCGCGUCUCCAUAAAAGCUCUCUGGAUGAAGACAGUGAGUGUUCUGCCAAAUACAUUCUUCUAAUUCUUGUGAAAUUCAGAGUGGUAGAAAAGAGGCUGGAAGCGUCCCAAACAGGAGGAAUGGUACCUCCAGCCAUGGUGCGCGCCGCAAAAGCGAGCUUCAGGAAUGUGGCCCCGGACCGCCCCCUCGGUGCCCGCAGCAUCUCUCCCGCCCUCCCGAAGCUGGAGCCGGAGCCAAGUCGAGACCGGAACCGGAAGCGAAGGCACCGCCUCCCGCACCGCCCCCGAGGCACCUAUUCCUGGUGCCCUCAAUACACACCAGAUAAAGAAACCCUCGCGAUUGCCAGGCA